GUUGAAACACCAGUUUCCGUACGAUCACCGAAGUUAAGCAACGUCGAGCCUGGUCAGUACCUAGGUGGUUGAUAGCUUGGGAAUACCAGGU
rnacentral:rRNA from 1 species